CAGGAGAGAAUGGUACCAGUGGUGUUGGGAGGAGAGUCCAGGCGGGAGAGGAGAAUGGAGCGCUUGAUGGUAUUAAACACUACGGUGAGGUUGAGCAUGAUGAGAAGGUUCAGGUGGGCAGAGUCUGAGGACAGGAGGAGGUCGCUGGUGACUCUAAUCAGGGCUGUGAGAGCUGAUGUUUGAAGACUUGGACCUGUGUGGAUUCUGUUCCAGACACAUUUUUCUGGUCUGAGCCCUUUACAUAGAAAAUAGUUGUUGUUUCUGCUACAUUAAUGUUUAAAAUUCAGUUUGUUUGUUUUUUAGCAGCUUUACAUACUUAAAGUUUGCAUCUCCAGCAUGUCUGUUUUCUGAGUGAGACUCCACCCUGUAGAUGUCCCACAUAUGAAACAAGCCUGAAGUUUGAGUCCAGGUUCAAGCUCCGCCUUUACGUACUGACGUGAUGAGACAUGAAUGUGAGGCAGCGCUGAUAAAUCAUCGUGCAGCAUCUUCACGCUGACAGAACACACGGCGGUUGAUGCACCACGCUUCAGGUAAGUACACCAUUUUGUCUUCGUAAAGUUUCUGCAGUAGAACUGAACUUUGAUGACAACUGAGCUUCAGCUGAAGAUAAACCUGUGUCGAUGUUCAGCGGCAGUGACGCGUUCCUUCAGACUUGAUUUCGCUGUUAAUUUCACUGUUAAACUCAAGUUAACCUGACAGAAUACCAAUAUCAAAGAACAGUUCUACACUUCAACUCAAAUGACCUUUUUUAGUUUCUAAGACCUUUAUAUUUUGUGGAUAAGAGGUUUAUUUUUGUCAAAGUCAGAAUUAAACUUGUAAUUGUUCUGCAUCCUGUCAAACCAGUUCAAAUGAAAUGUGACUAAGCUCCGUUUUGUUUUUGAGGUUGAACCCUGUUUCACUGAAGAAUCCUCUGACUCAUCGACCAAACAAAAAAAACAAACCCUGGGACAUGUUCAGCAGUGGAAACAAUGAUGCAUUCGACCCCCUCAGCCAGCUCACACUGGAAGACAAAAAUCCAACACAAGAUGAUGGCUGAGGACAGGGCCGCAGCAAACAGCGGGACCCCUCUGGAAAAGAGAGCGGCCACCAAGAGAGGGAUCGACAUGCUAUAGAUAAUAGACCUGAUCAAGAUGUAAGAAGACAGGGAAGUCCUGACAGAGACCACGACCGCCAAAGAGAGGGAAGUCCUGACAGAGACCGCGACUGCCAAAGAGAGGGAAGUCCUGACAGAGACCACGACCGCCAAAGAGAGGGAAGUCCUGACAGAGACCGCGACUGCCAAAGAGAGGGAGGUCCUGAUAGAAACCACAA